AUCACUGAAAGAGUCAUCAAGGGAUCCUGACUUAGAAGCAUCUUGAAAAUCUUGGAAGUCGUCUUCUUCUGGUUUUACCACCUAGAAAUCGGACAGUCUUUUU